ACUUCGAUAGCUCAGUUGGUAGAGCGGAGGACUGUAGGUAGUUAACUCUGCUGUCCUUAGGUCGCUGGUUCAACUCGGGCUCGAAGGA